CCCACAUGCAGGAGGCACGUCUUAAUUGGCUGGUAGGGAGGCGGUGUCCCUUUGCUCUGCUUUCGCAUUGGUUAAGAAAAGCUUCAGUCCCGACUCCAGCCCUCAAGCCACGCCCCUGCACGGCAGCUGCUGCUUUUUUUAUCCUCAUGGAGUCAGCGACAAAGUAAGAGCACUCUGGUGGGCAGGUCAGGGUGUGAAAUGAAGCUUUCCCCCUUGAAGUCAAGGCAGAUCUGAGGAAUGGCUCGGUUCUCGGACUUGUUCAUGCCAUGUUUGGAGAAAGCUGAUGGAAGACUGAAGAAGCUAUGAAAGGAAAGAAGACAGAAGAUAGAUAGGGAGCAGAAGAGGGACAGACAAACGGACAGGAAGAUAAACAAAUAGACAGACAAUAAGAGAAAGAGAGCAUACAAUUAAUACCUUCAUUUUUAGCAUCAGUUCAUUUGUUGUAACUGUUUCAUGCAGUCAUUUACAUGUAUAGAGAAUGUAAGCAUGUAAAGCAAAAACCCGUCUGGCCCUUUCAGAGUGACAGCAUGUUCUGCAUAGUGUAAAGUUUUAAUACCUCCAUCGAUUUUUCAAAUUCUCUGCAUAAUUCAGUGGUCAUGAUGUAAACAAAGUCAUUGAUGUCAAAUAGUUCACUGUAGAGAAACUUACUGACUCUGAUUUCUUUACAGCGGCGCUGAUAGGAACCAAAUGUCAUGAUGUCUACAACACAAAUCAAGCCAUUUAGUUACUAUCCAAAACCACCAGUGAACCUACACGUCUUCUGAGUUUUAUUAAUGUUUAUGAUAGUAAAAUAGUUGUAAAUCUUAAAACAAUAAGCUGUUAAUAAGAUGUUUUUCUGUAUUAUUUGGCCUUCUUUCCAAGUUUUAGCCCUUAUUCUUGUGAACAAUCCAGACUCAGUAAGGUUCUCUAUAUUGGAGCAUUUCACACUGAAUCACUCUAAAUUACUUUGUCUACAUCUUAAUGAUUUAAUUAUGCAGACAUUUACAUCGACAUUUCAACAACAUCGUAUUUAUAUUUAAACCAAUGAGAGCUUUAUAUCAUUUCUAUGCGCAGAUCCCCUUUGAUAAUGUAGUUUACCAACACUUGAAUUAAGGAAAGUGUUACUCUGCCCACAGUGAGGUCAAAUGAAGUGGUCCAAGGCCAGGACAUAAGGUCUUGUAUGUAAUAUAUCUGAAUCCAGAAGCUCCCAGAUGUUUCCAUGCCUUAUAAGAACUGGAAAGUCUAAAAAGAAAUUAGGCUAAAUGCACAAUAACAACAGGCUUUUAUGAGAUCCAAGUAAAAAAUAUAAAUAAUAAAUAACAAAAACUGAAAUUAGUCUCUGGUUUCACAAAAUAAAGGACACUUUAUUUAAUUCAAUGUAAAAAAAACACAAUCACAUAUGGAUAUAUUAAUGGUAUAUGGUAGAUAAGUCUGCACAACAGUCUAUAAAUCUCCCUGUUGUGCCAAGAUAUAAACCAG